rnacentral:piRNA from 3 species
UACUCUGGUUUCUCUUCAGAUCGUA